rnacentral:misc_RNA from 1 species
GAUGAAGAACGCAGCGAAAUGCGAUAGGUAAUGUGAAUUGCAGAAUUCAGUGAAUCAUCGAGUCUUUGAACGCACAUUGCGCCCCCUGGUAUUCCGGGGGGCAUGCCUGUCCGAGCGUCAUUGCUGCCCUCAAGCACGGCUUGUGUGUUGGGCCCCCGUCCCCCCCUCCCGGGGGACGGGCCCGAAAGGCAGCGGCGGCACCGCGUCCGGUCCUCGAGCGUAUGGGGCUUUGUCACCCGCUCUGUAGGCCCGGCCGGCGCCUGCCGACCACCAUCAAUCUUUUUUCAGGUUGACCUCGGAUCAGGUAGGGAUACCCGCUGAACUUAAGCAUAUCAAUAAGCGGAGGA